ACACAUUGAAUAUCGAAACAUUUAAUUGCGCUAAAUCGUUUCAUUAAAUAAAUUACCUUGUAUUGUCGAUUAAAUUAAGGUAAAUUAUAAAAAAUGCUGAUAUUUUUGACUAAACCAAAUGCUAACCCAGAAAUACAAUCACUGUGUCUAAUGAAUAAUUUGUUUUAUAAACACUUUUUUGUUUACUUCUCAUUUU
rfam:Staphylococcus aureus subsp. aureus NCTC 8325, complete genome.